CUCUGCAAUAAGCUUGUGUUGUAAACUUUGUACCAAGAAGGAGGAUUAUCAGCAGACAAUUCAAGGGCAAUACUGUCACCUACUUUUGUUUUCCCUGACUGCCGUGUUGUUGACCUUCAUCACCAUUCUUUCCCAGCACACGGUGUCUGCAUGUUGUCCAACAGCCUCCUUUUCCUCAUAGAUCUACCCCUUGGACAGAUAAGAACAUCAGAGGGAGCAGGGCUGCAGUUCAUCACUCCCAACAAUGACCCUUCAACAGGGUUUUCUCUGAACUAGCAUCACAGUCAUGUGGGUUAGGUGGCUGUAGCUGGUACUCAGGUGAAAUCUCAGGCCAGUCUCUUCUGAAUCAGGGGGAUUGCUGACCAUUAAUCAGAACUUCAAGUGAACAAAGAUUCAAGAGAGCAAAACAAUGUUCUGCUUUAUUGUGAAGGGGAAGCAAAGGAUCCAGAGAGGAACAGCAGCCUGACUCUUGGGGAAGGGCAUGAAAGGGAGAGGAAGGGAGGAGAUGGUCAAUCCGGGGUAAGGAGCGGGGAGGGAGGGGGCUGAUGGCACAGGAAUGACUGUCAGAGACACAUCCUGGAGGCCACAAUUCAACCCUCUCAACUUUUCCCAGAAGUUCCAAAAACUCCUUUAAAGCAGCAAGUGCAGGGCGUGAAAAGGAGGAGCCAUGCUAGAGGAGAGCCUGGGAAUGGGGAAAUGAUUACAGGCUGUGACCUCACUGGCGCAGCUCCUCUCAGCGGCAGUGGAAAGCACAGCCUAGACUUCUCACCACUGCACACCAGAAUCCUGCCCCGGGCCUUGCCUGGUCUGCCUGACUCUGUCAUGGGCUGCAGGCUCCUCUGCUGUGUGGUCCUCUGCCUCCUCCAAGCAGGUUCCUUGGACACAGCUGUUUUCCAGACUCCAAAAUACCUGGUCACACAGAUGGGAAAGAAGGUGUCCCUUAAAUGUGAACAAAAUCUGGGCCAUGAUACUAUGUAUUGGUAUAAGCAGGACUCCAAGAAAUUGCUGAAGAUAAUGUUUAGCUACAAUAACAAGGAACUCACUAUAAAUGAAACAGUUUCAAAUCGCUUCUCACCUGAGUCUCCAGACAAAGCUCAUUUAAUUCUUCACAUCAAGUCCCUGGAGCUUGGUGACUCUGCUGUGUAUUUCUGUGCCAGCAGCCAAGGCACAGCCCUGCAGAGUCACCGCAUUCCUGUGCACAAACCUCCCAGCUCAGCCAGGAAGCUGUGGGCCAGGGUGUGCACCUGCACCCAAGGCUCCAGUCUCCACUCUCUGAUGGCCUCGGAUGGAGUUUCAGUCUGUAAUAGAGAUGGCUAGUGCAACCAGUGGAGAAGUUGUCUAUUUUAUGCACACAAAGUCUCACAGAAUUGUUUAUCAGCUGGAGCAGGGCUUCACAACCAAGCCACGGAAGUAUUAGGGCCCCACAAACAAAAACGGAGCCUGUCCAAUGCACUGAAGAUCUGAACUGGUGGAGGAAGCUAUUUCUUGUCUUUCUGUGCUGCACACAUGAGUCCAUAUUUUAUAUAACAUUAUGAAAAAAUAUGAUUGCUAAAAAUGGUUGAUGAGCACAAGCAUAAAGGAGGGGGAAGGAAAUAUUUCUAAGAUCAAGAGACAAUUCUGAUGAUCAGUAAGUACUUUAUUUGACAGAAAAAUAUUUGGAGAGGCAUGAAAUUCCAUGGCAAUAGGUAAACUGGAAAGUGUUGAGGAGAAGCCAGUGGAGGCAGCCUUGUGCAUUGUAGGCUCCUUCUCUUCAAGAAGGGUGACCAGCAAGCGUCUCUCCAAAUUCUGAUGAAGGUCAUCUUGAACUCUCCCCAAGAGUAGGCGACAGCUAGAUGACUGGGGAUAUCGGGAGACCUGAAAGGACUUUGGACACAAAUCUCUAGGCAGUGGUGAGCCAUUGGUCCUACUCCAAGUGAAACAAUAUGAUGAAACUCAUAUUUUGGUACAGGAACACUGGUAGUAGUAUGGAUCAGAAAGGAGAUAGAUUUUGGGUGGCAUGAAGAAUCAGGAGACUUCUAAAUAUCCUACAGGAAAGAUUAGAAAGAGUUUAUGUGAAGCAUUGUGGACAACAUAGGCUUGAGGCUCUGGAUUAUGUUAUUUCUUGGAAAUAGUAUUGGGUUUUAUUCUGGGAGGGUUGAAUCUAUGACUAGCUAGGGUCUACUUCAACUUUGCCCUCCCUUUUAGGGAGCCCCAGCAUGUGGUCAGCAUUGCUAGUGCAUGCCUUUCCAGGGUCUUAGUGGGAAUCACGGUGUUCCCACCACGACUCUCCACUCUCACUGGGUCUGAAUGCCAAUCCCUUCUGGCCCUGAGUAUCUUCUGACAUCCCUGCCCAUGUCUUCAGCCUUCCAGAGUUUGUUCCCUGCUGGGCCUUCGGGAGUGCCACCCUCUGCACGCACAACUUAGGACACGACCCAGAAAGAAAUAUAAAAAAUAAAAAAAGAUUUUCUUACACAGGUUCUCAGGGCUCCUUUUUAGUACACUGUAUCCUAAAUCCCGGCUGUCUUGGA